rnacentral:rRNA from 1 species
UACGUAGGGGGCAAGCGUUGUCCGGAUUCAUUGGGCGUAAAGAGCUCGUAGGCGGCUUGGCAAGUCGGGUGUGAAAACUCCAGGCUCAACCUGGAGACGCCACCCGAUACUGCUAUGGCUUGAGUCCGGUAGGGGACCACGGAAUUCCUGGUGUAGCGGUGAAAUGCGCAGAUAUCAGGAGGAACACCGGUGGCGAAGGCGAGUCCCUGGACGAUACCUGACACUGAGGCACGAAAGCUAGGGGAGCAAACAGG